rnacentral:rRNA from 1 species
GACGAACGCUGGCGGCGUGCUUAACACAUGCCAGUCGAGCGGAAAGGCCUGCUUUCCCUUGUGGAUUGCGGGUACUCGAGUGGCGAACGGGUGAGUAACACGUGAGUGAUCUGCCCCCAACUUGGGUAUAAGCCUGGGAAACUGGGUCUAAUUCCCGAUAGGACUGCAGGGUGGUGCCUGUGGUGGAAAACGAUUUUCUAGUGGUUGGGGAUGAGCUCGCGGCCUAUCAGCUUGUUGGUGGGGUAAUGGCCUACCAAGGCGGCGACGGGUAGCCGGCCUGGGAGGGUGGACGGCCACAUUGGGACUGAGAUACGGCCCAGACUCCUACGGGAGGCAGCAGUUGGGAAUAUUGCACAGUGGGCGGAAGCCUGAUGCAGCGACGCCGCGUGGGGGAUGACGGCCUUCGGGUUGUAAACUCCUUUCGACCGCGAGGAAGCCACCUGGUUGGAAGGGUGGUGACGGUAGUGGUAGAAGAAGCACCGGCUAACUACGUG